AUCGGUUGAAAAAGAGAGAUGGAGAGACAAGAGAGAAAAGAAAAGAAAAAAGAGAAGAAGAAAGUCUUCUUCUUCUUCUUAGUUUUGCCAUAGACAACACAUUGGAUCAAGUUGUUAUUGUUGGGAGAAGUUUUGGAGGUACGUUUUAAUUAUUGGUUUCUAUUAACUUGUUGUGGAGAAGCAUGAUUGCAAUAGAAGUAGAAAUCAAAGAUUUUACAUAAAUAUGCUGACAGUGAAUCAUUACGAAAAUCAUAGUAAUUUGUACAAAUUGAUUUUGAUUCUGUUUUUUGGGUAUGUUAAACUAGACAUUGUCUAAUAUGUUUUGAAACUUGUUUCAAGUUAAUCGGAUAAGAUUUCGAUUAAUUAUGAUUUUUCAAAUUCAAGUCUGAAAACCUGGAAAUUUAUGAUUUCAGUGAAUUACGAAAUUAUUUCUACCAUAUCUAGACUCCUUCAAAAAUUAUGAAAUUUGGACCAAUGAUUUUUAUAUAUGUCUAGUAUGAUUCUGGAAAUUUUCAUGAUUUUAUGAUCAAGAAAUAAAUUGUUUUGUAUUUUUAAAGCAAGUGUGUUCAAAACAGAAAACUGUUUGACAGUAUUGAUGAUGUCUGAAACGUGAAUUAUUUUCAAUCUUUUUGGAAGGAAUUAUGUUAUGAAAUUUUUAUCAAUGAACUUUCAAUGUGUCAGCAUAUGGUCUGUAAAAUUUGAGAUUCUUCCAAUAAGAGAAUAAUUUAUUAAAAAUCGGAGAAAUAUGGACUGUUAUGUUUUGAGGGCCGAUUAUUGAGGACAUUUGAGGUUGAGCUUAAGAGUUAUUUAAAUUGAGAUAUUUGAGGACAUUAGAGUUUAUGAUUGAGAUUUGAUUAUAUCUUAUGAGAAUUUAUUGAUGAUUUUAGGUUGAUGGUAUCAGUACGCAUUUGUUACAUGAGGAUGCCAAGAGGUAAGUAAACUAGACUUUAAAACGAAUCACAAUAAAUAAUAUAUAUGUUUGACUUGUAUGAAAAGCCUAUUUUGAUAUGUACGAAUAUGGAUUUAUAUGUCUCUGCUCAUGUGUUUAUGUGAUGUGUUGUUAUGUAAUGGGCGUGAUUAUGUACAUGGGCAUAUAUAUGUGUGAUGGUUCAUUGGCAUGAGCACGAAAAUGCAUUGAGUUUUCUAUGAAUGAGAAAGUGGAUUUUAGCAAAUUGAAUUUAUGUUUUAUGAGAUUUUGCAUUGGGGGCCACCUCUUGAAGUUGUGUGGGGGCCACCUCUUGAGACUAUGCAGGGGCCACCUCUUGAGGGCUAGAGUCCCGCAAAGUGCCACGCAUGGUGCAAAGUGCCACGCACAACACAAAGUGCCACAUUGUAGGAUACGUAUUUCAUCGAAAGAAAAUGAGAAAGUUUGAAAGCGACAGAAAGAGAUUUUUAUGAAUUAAUUUUACAGUAUUUCUAAAAGAUCAUGGCAUAUCAUCCAUUGCAUUAUGUAUAAGUAUGUAUGUAUUUUCUAUAAGAAAAACUAGUUUGCUUACUGAGUUUUGUACUCAUUAUAGUUUAUUGUGAUUCAGUUUCCAGAAGUCAGGAUUGAUUCGUGAUGAGUGACAAGUUGAAGAUGGUAGAUGGUUUCGCUAAAUUUUUUAGUUAUUCCGCUGGCUUUUGUAUUUGAUGCUCGAAUUUUAUUGUUUGUAAAGAGUUAUUUAAAUCAUAUGUGAGUUGUGGACAUAUUUGCCCUUGGAUUUCGGACUGGGGUGUUA
rnacentral:lncRNA from 1 species